AAAAACUAGGGCGAACGCAGCAGCGGCAGCAGGAGGAGGAAAACGACGAUGAUGAGUCGAGCGGCGGCACUGGACCUCAAGGCGUUCACCGCCGGACUCGGCGUCGCCACCGUGUACCUCGCCGGCACCUUCUCCGUCAACGUCUACAGAGGCCUCUCUUGGCACAACGCUCAAUCCAAAAUAGAGAAGGAAAAAGCACAAGAAUGACGGGAUAAUGAUAUUCACUUCUGCUUUUAUGGUGAAAUUAGAAGCUGAAUCUUUGUAACCAUAAACACUGCAUGGGCGAGAAAGCAGGGGUGCCUGUUGAAAAUUGCCUGCUCCUUUUCACUUUUAAUAAUUUUUCAUGUCAUAUGAUGGACGUGUAUCUUUAGACUUUAUAUGUAAAUUCUAUUUAUUAUUUUAUUCCACUGUCCAUUGCAAAUUGUAAUACUUUCUUCCAUGGUUUUUGAAGUUCAAUCGACCUUUAUUAUGAGCAGCACAUAUUAUAGUUAUUCAGCGAGUUCUGAAUUAUUGA